AUGUGCUACUCGUACACUCCGGUUCCGCUGCGCGGGCAAUGCCAGCUGACGGCUGGUCGCUCUGUGGUGUCGACC
rnacentral:sRNA from 20 species